AACGAACGCUGGCGGCGCGCUUAACACAUGCAAGUCGAACGAGAAGGCGUAGCAAUACGCUUGUACAGUGGCGAACGGGUGAGGAAUACAUGGGUAACCUACCCUCGAGUGGGGGAUAACCCGCCGAAAGGCGGGCUAAUACCGCGUACGCUUCCGAUCUUGCGGGAUUGGAAGGGAAAGCUGUCCCUUGGGGAUGGCGCUCAAGGAUGGGCUCAUGUCCUAUCAGCUUGUUGGAGGGUAACGGCCUCCCAAGGCAUCGACGGGUAGCUGGUCUGAGAGGACGAUCAGCCACACUGGCACUGCGACACGGGCCAGACUCCUACGGGAGGCAGCAGUGAGGAAUAUUGCGCAAUGGGCGAAAGCCUGACGCAGCGACGCCGCGUUGGGGGAUGAAGGUCUUCGGAUUGUAAACCCCUUUCGGGAGGGAAGACGGCCUUAGACAACUAAGGCGGACGGUACCUCCAGAAGCAGCCACGGCUAACUUCGUGCCAGCAGCCGCGGU
rnacentral:rRNA from 1 species